UACGGAGGAUGCGAGCGUUAUCCGGAUUCAUUGGGUUUAAAGGGUGCGCAGGCGGCGCUCUAAGUCAGCGGUGAAAUGCAGGGGCCCAACCCCGGCAGUGCCGUUGAUACUGGGGUGCUUGAAUGCGGUCGAGGCGGGCGGAAUGUGGUGUGUAGCGGUGAAAUGCAUAGAUAUGCCACAGAACGCCGAUAGCGGAGGCAGCUCGCCAGGCCUGCAUUGACGCUCGGGCACGAAAGCGUGGGGAU
rnacentral:rRNA from 1 species